rnacentral:rRNA from 1 species
UAGCGUAGGGGGCAAGCGUUGUCCGGAUUUAUUGGGCGUAAAGAGCUCGUAGGCGGUCUGUCACGUCGGCUGUGAAAACUCGGGGCUCAACCCCGAGCCUGCAGUCGAUACGGGCAGACUAGAGUCCGGCAGGGGAGACUGGAAUUCCUGGUGUAGCGGUGAAAUGCGCAGAUAUCAGGAGGAACACCGGUGGCGAAGGCGGGUCUCUGGGCCGGAACUGACGCUGAGGAGCGAAAGCGUGGGGAGCGAACAGG